GGAAACCCCUGUGGCAUCCUGAUGGGGGAUAAGGAUUUCAGAUCUCCCCUGGCUGUGGCCCACACGCCGCGGGGAGCUGUCAGUUCCGCGGAGAGACUGGAAGAAUUAAGAAUAAAAAUGGACUUUCAGAGAACAAAAUCAGACCUGACAACUCAAGUCAUUCAAACCGGCCAUGAUCAAGCCUGAAAAGGAAGCAUCAGAAAAGUUCCAAAGGCUUCCAGAAGCAAGUGAAAAUGGCCAGGCCCUCUAGGAGACUCUCUGAGUAACCAAAGGAAACAGAUCUCCUUCCCCCCACUUGAGAAAUAAAACCCCAUGGCAAGGCCAGCCUUCAGAGCCUCCUGA